CAUAACACGUGUGGGCUCAUUGCUGUUUACAACCUGUUGCUACUGUGGCUUAAUGCGUCUGCAAUGCACUUCGACUCUUGGGAGAUGUGGGAUGGGCUGACGCUGGUGAAACGGCUACCCAUCCCAGCCCCCCUCUGCUCUGCAUGGCCACAGAAGUGAAACCAUGGUCAGACAGACACCUUCCUCUUGAGAGUCAACAGACAACAACAAUUCAGCCUCACGGAAGUUUGUUUAGAAAAAUGUACACAUUCAUUUGAGUAGCUUAUUGUGAAGGUAGGCCUAUGUCACUGCCUAUGUCAUAACUCACAUGCCCAGAAAACUGAGAAAGAGAGGAUCUCACACAAAAAAUGGUAAUCAGGUCACGCACCGUCCAUGAUUAUCCAACCCUGCUAAAAUCCCUACACCACCUAGGUGAAGAAUAGUAGAGCCAGGACUACAACUAUGCUGGACAAUCAUGGAUGGCUUGACCCGGGUGCUGAUGUACACAGUGGGUAGAAACCCCACAGACUGUCUUAACUGUACAGUUGAAGUCGGACGUUUACAAAAACCUUAUCCAAAUACAUUUAAACUCAGUUUUUCACAAUUCCUGACAUUUAAUCCUAGUAAAAAAUCUCUGUAUUAGGUCAGUUAGGAUCACCACUAUUUUAAGAAUGUGAAAUGUCAGAAUAAUAGUAGAGAGAAGGAUGAAUGCAUAUUAAUUACUUAAAAAUCAUACAAUGUGAUUUUCUGGAUUUUUGUUUUAGAUUCCAUCUCUCACAGUUGAAGUGUACCUAUGAUAAAAAUUACAGACCUCUACAUGCUUUGUAAGUAGGAAAACCUGCAAAAUCGGCAGUGUAUCAAAUACUUGUUCUCCCCACUGUAUAUAUAUCACAGAAUGGGUCCGUAUUUUGUUUGAUUGAUCAUUCAAUACCUGUUCUGAUAAUGUACACAUAUAACAAGCCGAGCAAACAAUAUAAUGGAAAAUAAAUGAUUACAAUGUACAGAAA